ensembl:snRNA RNU6-886P RNA, U6 small nuclear 886, pseudogene
GUGCUCACCUUGGGUACAUAUACUAAAAUUAGAACCAUACAGAGAAGAUUAGCAUGGCUCCUAUGCAAGGAUGACAGACAAAUUCGUGAAGCAUUCCAUAUUUUU